rnacentral:rRNA from 1 species
CGUAGGUAACCUGCCUGGUAGCGGGGGGUAACUAUUGGAAACGAUAGCUAAUACCGCAUAACAGUAGAUGUUGCAUGACAUUUGCUUAAAAGGUGCAAUUGCAUCACUACCAGAUGGACCUGCGUUGUAUUAGCUAGUUGGUGGGGUAACGGCUCACCAAGGCGACGAUACAUAGCCGACCUGAGUGGGUGAUCGGCCACACUGGGACUGAGACACGGCCCAG